rnacentral:rRNA from 1 species
CCUACGGGAGGCAGCAGUGAGGAAUAUUGGUCAAUGGACGAGAGUCUGAACCAGCCAAGUAGCGUGAAGGAUGACUGCCCUAUGGGUUGUAAACUUCUUUUAUAAAGGAAUAAAACGAGGCACGUGUGCCUUUUUGCAUGUACUUUAUGAAUAAGGAUCGGCUAACUCCGUGCCAGCAGCCGCGGUAAUACGGAGGAUCCGAGCGUUAUCCGGAUUUAUUGGGUUUAAAGGGAGCGUAGAUGGGUUGUUAAGUCAGUUGUGAAAGUUUGCGGCUCAACCGUAAAAUUGCAAUUGAUACUGGCAGUCGUGAGUACAGUUGAGGGAGGCGGAAUUCGUGGUGUAGCGGUGAAAUGCUUAGAUAUCACGAAGAACCCCGAUUGCGAAGGCAGCUUACUAAACUGUGACUGACAUUGAUGCUCGAAAGUGUGGGUAUCAAACAGGAUUAGAUACCCGUGUAGUC